GUCAUAUGCUUGUCUCAAAGAUUAAGCCAUGCAUGUCUCAGUACAAGCCAAAUUAAGGUGAAACCGCGAAAGGCUCAUUAAAUCAGUUAUGGUUCCUUAGAUCGUACCCACAAUUACUUGGAUAACUGUGGUAAUUCUAGAGCUAAUACAUGCAAACAGAGCUCCGACCGGAGACGGAAGGAGUGCUUUUAUUAGAUCAAAACCAAUCGGUGGCGGGUUCGCUCGUUAUCGUAUAACUUGGUGACUCUGAAUAACUUUACGCUGAUCGCACGGUCAUCGCACCGGCGACGCAUCUUUCAAAUGUCUGCCUUAUCAACUGUCGAUGGUAGGUUCUGCGCCUACCAUGGUUGUAACGGGUAACGGGGAAUCAGGGUUCGAUUCCGGAGAGGGAGCCUGAGAAACGGCUACCACAUCCAAGGAAGGCAGCAGGCGCGCAAAUUACCCACUCCCGGCACGGGGAGGUAGUGACRAAAAAUAACGAUACGGGACUCAUCCGAGGCCCCGUAAUCGGAAUGAGUACACUCUAAACCCUUUAACGAGGAUCAAUUGGAGGGCAAGUCUGGUGCCAGCAGCCGCGG
rnacentral:rRNA from 1 species